UUGAGAGGAUCUUUCCCUAGUACGAGAGGACCGGGAUGGACGAACCUCUGGUGUACCAGUUGUCGCGCCAGCGGCACAGCUGGGUAGCUAUGUUCGGAAUGGAUAACCGCUGAAGGCAUCUAAGCGGGAAGCCAACCUCAAGAUAAGGUAUCCCUUCCACUGGGCAACCAGUGGAACUGAAGACCCCUUGGAGAUGACAAGGUUGAUAGGCCGGGUGUGUAAGUGCGGUAACGCAUUUAGCUAACCGGUACUAAUAGGUCGUGCGGCUUGGCCAU
rnacentral:rRNA from 1 species